AACCAUAGAAACCUGCGGAGUACCUGCGGAGGGAUCAUUAUCGAGUUGCAAAACUCCAACCCUUUGUGAACAUACCUCAGUCGUUGCUUCGGCGGUGGACGGCCUUUUUUCGAAAAGGCCCGAAGCCGCCGGAGGUUCCAAACUCGUGUUUUGUUUAGUGUAUCUCUGAGCCUGAAAACAAAUAAUCAAAACUUUCAGCAACGGAUCU
rnacentral:misc_RNA from 1 species